AUCAAGUUGUUAGGAAUCUGCGCACUAGUCGCGUAAAAACAGUCGCACAAUGAAGCAUACAAAAUCCUAGCUUUUCGGAGUAAUUACAGAAUACCCAACCACUUUUCAUUGUUCUUUUCAAGACACAAGGACCGAAUGUAAUAAUUUCAAAGCGACUUAAACUGAAACUUUAAAGAUGAACUUAGUUGUAAACAUAGAUUGUUUUGUAUCAACCUCGUUGGGAACAA